rnacentral:rRNA from 1 species
AUGGCGGUGGUUUUGGGUGCUUUGGCAUCAUACGUGACCAACAUGCUCGCCCAAAUGGCAAGCGAAGACAUAGCCAUGAUGAUCGGGGUCUCUAGUGGGAUCGAUGAACUAGACGCCAAGCUCAGGGAUCUCAAGAAUGUUCUUGCCGAUGCCGAUAGGAGGACCAUCACCGACGAGAGUGUGCGGGGGUGGGUGGAGGAACUGAAGCGUGCCAUGUACCAGGCCACCGACAUCAUCGACCUAUGCCAGCUCAAGAUCAUGGAGCAAGGUCCAUCCACGGACACGGGGUGCCUUCACGCGCUCCUCUUUUGCAUCCGAAAUCCCCUGCAUGUCCAUGGUAUCGGCACCCGCAUCAAGAACCUCAAUCAAAAGUUGGAUGACAUCUGCAAGUGGGGUGGCAGUUUCAAUUUCAUCAAGCUAGAAGCCUACCAAGACCGGAAGGCAACUCGAUCUCUUGCCACUGAUCGCAAAACAGAUUCAUUGAUGGAGAGGUCGGGUGCGGUUGGCGAGAAGAUCGAGGAGGACACAAGAGCACUUGUGGAGGUGCUUACAAGGGAGGCAGUUGGUGACAAGGUUGAUCACCUCAUGGUGGUCGCCAUUGUUGGUGUAGGCGGGAUUGGCAAGACCACUCUCUGCAAGAAGGUAUUCAAUGAUGAGGCUAUCGAAGGCAAGUUCGCUAAGAAGAUAUGGCUUAGCAUCACACGAGAUUUCAACGAUGUUGAAUUGUUGAGUACGGCCAUCACUGCCGCUGGCGGAGACUUGCCUGGAGUGGGUGGGGCUCGAGACAAGGCCCUACUUGUCGUUGCUCUCAUGAAUGCCAUCAAGGACAAAAAAUUCUUUCUUGUACUAGAUGACACUAGCGUGUAG